AACGCAGGUGGUUUGGUAAGUCAGGGGUGAAAGUCCACAGCUUAACUGUGGCACUGCCUUUGAUACUACCUUUCUUGAGUGCAUGAGGGGGAAGCGGAAUUCCGAGUGUAGAGGUGAAAUUCGUAGAUAUUCGGAGGAACACCGGUGGCGAAGGCGGCUUCCUGGCAUGUAACUGACACUCAUGUUCGAGAGCGUGGGGAGCAAACAGGAUUAGAUACCCUGGUAGUCCACGCCCUAAACGAUGGGCACUAGGUGUGGGAGGUAUCGACCCCUUCCGUGCCGCAGCUAACGCAUUAAGUGCCCCGCCUGGGGAGUACGGCCGCAAGGUUGAA
rnacentral:rRNA from 1 species